CACCACACUUCACGCGCGUCAACCAGGUCGCGCGACACGACGCCGCGACGCUCGGACGGCAAUUAGAGGCGCGAUCAAGGGCAUAAAAGUUCGGAACGAGAUGGAAAAGAAUUCAACGGCAAUCGCGAGAAGCUUCUCAUCUGGAUGACGAGACGAAGGAGGACGAUGGCACGCGAUGCAGCAGGAGGAAGUAAAAACAGACGGUCGCUAACGACCCGCGACCACCGCGAUUCUAUGUUCGCGUCCGUAAAAACGCGAGAAGCAGCCGUUCUACUUUGCGAUUAAACCCGGCGUCGCUUCUGCUCUCGCAGAAAAAUUUGUGAUCGGGGACUCGCGGCGAGCUCGUCGAGGAGGCGAGAAACCGGCCCUGUGAUCGAAGACGGUCAGUCGGUACCGGUCCGGAACCCAUUCAGCUGGUGGAUGGCGGUUUACGACGGGAGGAAGCUGUUCCGCGUUGCCGACGAGGUAUCGACGAGUCUCUGACGGUGGUUACACAUGUGGAGCAGGACAGAGGAUCGGCUUGGAGGCAGAGAGGAACCGUCUAAUAAAAAUGUUAAUUGCACGGCUCGUUAGAAGACCCCCCGCGAUGCCUGCUAGAAGUUCAGCUGGGGUCGCCUCGCGGGGAGUCUGCGAGUAUUUGCCUUUAAACCUUCGUCCUUUUUCUCGCUUUCCUUUCCUCUCUUUUUUUCAUCCAUUUCGCCCGAUUAUUUAUCGCCCGACGGAUCGUAUACGCGACCGCGUGCAAAUCUGGAUUAUACUCUCUGUCUCUCCCCCCCCUCUCUCUCUCUCUCUCUUCUCUGCUUCCUAGAUCGAAAAGAGAACUAACUGCCGUCGUAAUGAGGCUGGAGUUUGAUAGCGUAAUCCAAUUACUCUCGUGCGAAAUCUUCCGCGAUCUCGGAACGGCAAAUCUAUAAAAUGCCAAGUGGAUCUCGAAGCAUAAUUUGUCUGCGGAAUUUAUGCUUCUGCUUUUGUGACGGUGUUCGCGAUAAAACGAUAUUGUUAGGGAUCGCGUUUGCGAAAUAUUCACGCCGAUAUAAUCUUAUUAAUCCUUCAACAAUAAAACGCGUACACGUUUGAAUAUUAGAGAUAAUGUCGGCAAUUCUCACAUUGUCAGUUUAUUUUUCCUACAGAAAGGAGAUGCACUUAAUGUCUUGGAAAAAAACAAAUAUAUAUAUACAUAUAUAUUUAUUUACUGUUUCCGGGAUCGAUAGUGAUUUAACAUUGAAUUACCUUCUUACGGGUCUUAGAGAAUUAUAUGCUCUUAGAAAAAGAACAUAUUCAUAUCAUUAUGAAUCGUACAAUUACGUUUACAUACAGAUUAAAAUUUGUAGGGGGAAGAAGGCCAAUGCGAGCCAAACGCCGGGGAUCGUGCGAAAAUAUCCAACGUGGAAAUUUAUUUAUUCUUGAAAUUAUACAUUAAUCAAACGUUUCGAUCCAUUUUCGGAUCAUCCCCAGUGAGACUAAGAACAGAGAAUUGUAUAAGAUGUUACAUAGACAUAACCAAUAUAAAAUUUAUUAUAAAAACUUUAAUAAUACCCGGAUUGAUUAACACGCAGAAAAUUAAAUUAAUACCUCGAUAGACAAAUUAUGUUAGACGCUAAAAUACGAAAAUACAUUGGCCUUCUUCCUCUCAAAUUGUCAUCUGGUAUAUUCCCAUGGGUCCCCAAAUGGUGAAAGUCAUAAAGAGAGAGUGAGAAAUACAGAUUUGAAAAGCUAAGAGAACGGAGUGUGUGUCGUUAUAAAAUGCAAGUUGAAAUUAAAUGUUUUUCGGACACGCACCCGAAUCUAAGAGAGGACAAUCACGUCGAGCAGUAAACAGCUGACUGAUGUCAAAAACAGUGGAUCUAUGUAUUUACGUAUGCUAAGAGUUGUGCUUAAAUAAUAGUGUGGGGUCGUAAUAAUAAAUAAGGGUUGCCAAAAGUGGUUUUAAGGUGGUAACGCAACUGUCGAGGCGCAAAUGUUCAAAUGUCAUUCAGAUUAUUGAUGAUAAAGUCAUAUGUGUUUAAAAGGUCGGUAUCUAUCUGUAGAUUUAAUUUGUUUGAUUAAAUGUACAGAUUAAAAUUGUUCAAUAUAUAUAAUUUUCUUUACUAUAAAACCGAGUGGGAGAGUUUUAGCGUCACAGCGAGGUCAGGGAUAAUUUUUGUGCCUAUCCUCAAGGAUAAAACUGUCAUAU